rnacentral:lncRNA from 1 species
GCAAAGCGCAUAUAUAUUCGCGUUCCUUUGCCGGUAUAAAUAAUUGUGUGAUUUGUGAUGCAACUAGCAUGGCGGCGUAAAUCUUUUAUUACUGCUGCCGAUGGUCAUUAGUUGACAUUCGUUGUGUUAGUUAAUAGCUGACUGAUUAAUAGUGGCUUAGUGGGGUAUUGUUAUAAGUAAAAUGGUCAGCAAAGGGAUGUCAUCACCCGUUAAGAGGUCUCGGAG